rnacentral:miRNA from 1 species
AAAUACUGAUUCCUGGAUCCCAUCCUCUAAGAAUCAAGGCAUUGGUGAAGGCCAGGAAUCUGCAUUUUAUAAAGAUUCCAAGGUAUUCUGAUACA